UGGGGAAUUUUGCGCAAUGGGGGAAACCCUGACGCAGCAACGCCGCGUGGAGGAUGAAGUCUCUUGGGACGUAAACUCCUUUCGACAGGGACGAUAAUGACGGUACCUGUAGAAGAAGCCCCGGCUAACUUCGUGCCAGCAGCCGCGGUAAUACGAGGGGGGCAAGCGUUGUUCGGAAUUAUUGGGCGUAAAGGGCGCGUAGGCGGUUUGGCAAGUUUCGUGUGAAAUCUUCGGGCUCAACUCGAAGUCUGCACGGAAAACUGCCGGGCUUGAGUAUGGGAGAGGUGAGUGGAAUUUCCGGUGUAGCGGUGAAAUGCGUAGAUAUCGGAAGGAACACCUGUGGCGAAAGCGGCUCACUGGACCAUAACUGACGCUGAGGCGCGAAAGCUAGGGGAGCAAACAG
rnacentral:rRNA from 1 species